GACAGUCCACCAAAAGAUGUCAAACCAAAUCCAGCCUAUUGUAAAGCUCUGGGACCUCCCUUCCAAGGACACCGAACACAAGCUUAGACACCGCUGCGAAAAGCUGUCCAAAAGCGCCUGGCCGGACAGAAAUGGUUGCCGUGCAGGGAGUGUCAGCCACGUCUAGCGCACAGUCCCAGGCCCCAGGGCGAAGGCGGCCAGGGGAAAUGGGGCUCAGGGAUUGCUAAGCAAACGCAUCACUGGUGGUCUCCAGCGCCUGCGGAGGCAGUGCCUGAUGGCUGAGAAGAAUCGCAGAGGACUAGAAAAGGUUUGAGUCUGAAAUUAUCUGGCACAGAGGAUUAAAGCUCAGAAAUAAGUGAUUGCGAAACAGUUCAACUUCCCUGUUAAUGACAACAACAACAGCAACACGCUUAUUAAUUCCUAGCUGGAGCAUCAAGCUUAUGAAGAUUUCCAAGACUUUAUUGUUGACCCUUGUUGAAGAGAACUCUACUUGGCUUCUUUCCUGGCUUUCCUAAAUUGUUCACAUACAAGAUAAACUACCGUCAUUCAGACUUACAGAAGUGAGAAGACAAGCUGAACCAAAUGUAAAAUGGUAGCAAUUUACAGAUGUCAGAACUAACAUGUGGAUGAACUUAGAGAUGGAGAAGAAAGCUGGGCUUUUCCAAAGAGUGGAUCUAUCUGAACUGGAUAGCACUAUUGAACUUUGUUGCAUAUUUUGUGGUAGCUCUAAAACUCCUCUGCUUGCUUACAUACAACCAGACACCAGUGCCUUCUGAAGCUAAUCCAGGCCAUUUUUAUAACCUAAUGCAGUAGCACUUUGCAAUUAGAUGAAGAAGAUCGGUGGGAUUUCUUUCUGUGGUGAUUAAAAUGUGUCAGGGGAAGAAAUCAAGACAAUACUCCAAGUGAAAAAUAUAAAGUCAGUUAUUUCUUUAAUAUUUUGUGUUAUAGUAAUCAUUUUUAUAUUUUGAGCAUACUUUUUCUUGUCUACUUAAAUACUCAAAAUUAAUUAUAAAAUGUAAAUGUAAGCACAAUGAGAUACCAUCUCAUCCCAGUUAAAAUGGCUUUUAUCAAAAAGAUAGGGAAUAAUGAAUACUGGUGGAAGGAUGUGGAGAAUGGGGAACCCUCGUACACUGUCAAUGAGAAUGUAAAUUAGUACAGCCACUAUGGAAAACUGUAUGGAAGUGCCUCCGAAAACAAAGUAGAACUACCAUGUGAUCCAGCAAUUACACUAGUGGGUAUAUAUUCAAAAGAAAGGAAAUCAACAUAUUAAAGAGAUAGCUGCAUUCUCAUGUUUAUUGAAGUCCUGUUGAAAUAGCCAAAAUAUGGAAUCAACCUAAGUGCCCAUCAGUGGAUGAAUGGUUAAAGAAAAUGUGAUUGAUAUGCAAUGGAAUAUUAUUCAGCCAUAAAAAAGAAUGAAAUCCUGGCGGGGCACAGUGGCUCAUGCAAGUAAUCCCAGCACUGACCUCAUGAAGACAGAGAGUAGAUUGGUGGUUACCAGAGGUUGAGAAGGGGAGAGGAGAGGAGGGAUGAAGAGAGGUUGAUUGAUGGAUAGAAAUAUACAGUUUGAUAAUGAUAAAUCAGUAGGGUGACUAUAGUUUAUAAUAACCUAUUGUAUGGUUCAAAAUAGCUAAAAGAGAAUAAUUGAAAUAACGUAAGACAAAAAUUUAAGAUGAUAGAUAUCCCAAUUACACUGAUUUGAUCUUUACAAAUUAUAUGAAUGUAUUAAAUUAUUACAUGUAUCCCCAAAAUAUGUACAAGUAUUUUGUAUCAAUAAAAAAUAAAAUUUAAGAUAAAGUAAAUGUAAUGAUUAGCUUAUAUUUCCUAGAUCGGAAAUAAAUAUUUACUUAAGUAUGUUUAUGAUGAAGAGUUUUUUUAUAUUACUAUAAAAAUAGACACCUUACAUAAACAUAUUACAGUUGGUGUUUAGAUGGCUCUUUUUUUUCUGGCCUUGAAUUUCUGGAAAGUAGGUAUGGCCUGCUAUGUCAGGACUAGUUCUUGGAAUUCUUUGUUGU
rnacentral:lncRNA from 10 species